CCUACGGGAGGCAGCAGUGGGGAAUAUUGCACAAUGGGCGCAAGCCUGAUGCAGCGACGCCGCGUGAGGGAUGACGGCCUUCGGGUUGUAAAGCUCUUUCGCACGCGACGAUGAUGACGGUAGCGGGAGAAGAAGCCCCGGCUAACUUCGUGCCAGCAGCCGCGGU
rnacentral:rRNA from 1 species